rnacentral:rRNA from 1 species
GACGAACGCUGGCGGCGUGCUUAACACAUGCAAGUCGAACGGAAAGGCCCUGCUUUUGUGGGGUGCUCGAGUGGCGAACGGGUGAGUAACACGUGAGUAACCUGCCCUUGACUUUGGGAUAACUUCAGGAAACUGGGGCUAAUACCGGAUAGGAGCUCCUGCUGCAUGGUGGGGGUUGGAAAGUUUCGGCGGUUGGGGAUGGACUCGCGGCUUAUCAGCUUGUUGGUGGGGUAGUGGCUUACCAAGGCUUUGACGGGUAGCCGGCCUGAGAGGGUGACCGGCCACAUUGGGACUGAGAUACGGCCCAGACUCCUACGGGAGGCAGCAGUGGGGAAUAUUGCACAAUGGGCGGAAGCCUGAUGCAGCAACGCCGCGUGCGGGAUGACGGCCUUCGGGUUGUAAACCGCUUUCGCCUGUGACGAAGCGUGAGUGACGGUAAUGGGUAAAGAAGCACCGGCUAACUACGUGCCAGCAGCCGCGGUGAUACGUAGGGUGCGAGCGUUGUCCGGAUUUAUUGGGCGUAAAGGGCUCGUAGGUGGUUGAUCGCGUCGGAAGUGUAAUCUUGGGGCUUAACCCUGAGCGUGCUUUCGAUACGGGUUGACUUGAGGAAGGUAGGGGAGAAUGGAAUUCCUGGUGGAGCGGUGGAAUGCGCAGAUAUCAGGAGGAACACCAGUGGCGAAGGCGGUUCUCUGGGCCUUUCCUGACGCUGAAGAGCGAAAGCGUGCGGAGCGAACAGGCUUAGAAUACCCGGGAGUCCACGCUGUAAACGGGGGGUACUAGGGGUGGGGUCCAUUCCCCGGGUUCCGUGCCGUAACCUAACCCUUAAAUUCCCCGCCUGGGAAGUACGGCCCCAAGGCUAAAACUCAAAAGAAUUGACGGGGGCCCCCCACAAGCGGCGGAACCAUGCGGAUUAAUUUCAAUCAACCCCUAAAAACUUACCUGGGUUUGAAAUGGACUGGGGAAGGUUAUAAAAGGGUGUGCCCUCUUUUGGGGUCGGUUCNCCGGUGGUGCCUGCCUGUCGUCCGCUCGUGUCGUGNGNUGUUGGGUUNNGUCCCGCNNCGNGCGCCNCCCUUGUUCNCUGUUGCCCGCCCGUUNUGGUGGGGNCUCCGUGGNGNCCGCCGGGGUCNNCUCGGNGGNNGGUGGGGNUGNCGUCNNGUCNUCCUGCCCCUUNUGUCCNGGGCUUCNCGCCUGCUNCGNUGGCUGGUNCNGNGNGUGGCGNGCCUGUGNGGGUGNGCGNNUCUCGGNNNGCCGGUCUCCGUUCGGNUUGGGGUCUGCNNCUCGCCCUCNUGNNGUCGGNGUCGCUNGUNNUCGCNGNUCCGCNNCGCUGCGGUCCCUAAGUUCCCGGGGCU